UCCCCUAAAACCUGGAACUCUCCUUCCUUUCAAACCCCAGCAGGUCACAGGAUGGGUUACAGUUGUGAUAAACUCCCAAAUCUGCUGCUAUUUUACUUUUUUUCCCCAAAAAAAGCUGGAAUUCAGCUGGUUCUGUCCUUUUUAAAAAGCUGGGAGGUCACAGGAUGGAUCCAAGUGACUGCAAAAUCACAAAUCUGCUGCUACCCCUCUUUUUUAUCCCCUAAAAGCUGGACUUUGGCUGAAAUUGUCCUUCCUUUCUCUGCAGGACAGAUUUAAAUUGCAGCUAAUUCACAAAUGUGCUGCUACUCAUUAAAACAUUUGUUAGAGGAGCAGCUCUAAACCUCCUUUUUUUUCCUAAAAAUCCCAGUCCAGCCUGACUUGAACCCUCCUUUGCAGCCCAGGGAGGUUCAGGACAGCUGGGCCAGCUCUGGCUCCAGCCAGGAUGGGAAUUCCAGGGGCUCCAAUGCAGCCCUGCCCCAUUGCAGCUUCAGUUUGGGGGCAGACUGAGAAUUCCAGAGGGUCCAGACCAAUCCCAGUCUCAGUUCUGGGGCAGAAUGGGAAUUCCAGGGGGUCCAAUGCAGCUCUGCCCCAUCCCAGCCUCAGUUUUGGGGGCAAAUUGGGAAUUCCAGGGGGUCCAGAUGCAUUCCAGCUUCACUUUGGAGGCAGAUUGGGAAUUCCAGGGGCUCCAAUGCAGCUCUGCCCCAUUCCAGCUUCAGUUUAGGGGCAAACUGGGAAUUCCAGGGGCUCCAGACCCAUCCCAACCUCACUUUGGGGGCAAAUUGGGAAUUCCAGAGGGUCCAGACCCAUCCCAGCCUCACUUUUGGAGGCAAAUUGGGAAUUCCAAAGGGUCCAGACCAAUCCCAGUCUAAGUUCCGGGGCAGACUGGGAAUUCCAGGGGGUCCAGAUGCAUUCCAGCUUCACUUUGGAGGCAGAUUGGGAAUUCCAGGGGCUCCAAUGCAGCUCUGCCCCAUUGCAGCUUCAGUUUAGGGGCAAACUGGGAAUUCCAGAGGGUCCAGACCCAUUCCAGCCUCACUUUUGGAGGGAAAUUGGGAAUUCCAGGGGCUCCAGACCCAUCCCAGCCUCAGUUUUGGGGCAGAAUGGGAAUUCCAGGGGGUCCAGAUCCAUUCCAGCUUCACUUUGGAGGCAGAUUGGGAAUUCCAGGGGCUCCAAUGCAGCUCUGCCCCAUUGCAGCUUCAGUUUAGGGACAUUCCAGAGGGUCCAAACCCAUCCCAACCUCACUUUUGGAGGCAAAUUGGGAAUUCCAGAGGGUCCAGACCAAUCCCAGUCUCAGUUCUGGGGGCAAACUGGGAAUUCCAGAGGGUCCAGACCCAUCCCAGCCUCAGUUUUGGGGGCAGACUGGGAAUUCCAGGGGCUCCAUCUCAGGCUGUGGACACUGCCCCAGUGACUUGUGUCCCCUCCAUGCCAGGCUGUGCCCCAUGUCCCUCCAUGCUCGGCUGUGUCCCCCCAUGCCAGCCCAUGUCUCCCCAUGUCCCCUGUGCCCUGUGUCUCCCCAUGUCCCCUCCAUGCCAGCCUGUGNCUGGGAAUUGGAGUCCGAAACCCCAAAACAGAUGUGGCACCCCGAGGGAUGCUGGGAAUUGGAGUCCGAGCCCCAAACCAGGUGUAAUAGCCCAGGGGAUGCUGGGAAUUGGAGUCCAGACAACAAAAACAGGUGUGACACCCCGGGGGAUGCUGGGAAAUGGAGUCCGCACCCCAAACCAGGUGUGAUGCACCAGGGGAUGCUGGGAAUUGGAGUCUCCACCCUAAAACAGGUGCGGCACCCGGGGGAUGCUGGGAAUUGGAGUCCACACCCCUAAAACAGGUGUGGCACCCCGGGGGAUGCUGGGAAUUGGAGUCCACACCCCUAAAACAGGUGCGGCACCCCAGGGGAUGCUGGGAAUUGGAGUCUGCACCCCCUAAAACAGGUGUGACACCCCCGGGGGAUGCUGGGAAAUGGAGUCCAGACCACAAACCAGGUGUGGCACCCCAGGGGAUGCUGGGAAUUGGAGUCCGUAGCCCUAAAACAGGUGUGGCACCCCAGGGGAUGCUGGGAAUUGGAGUCCAUACCCCAAAAAUGGGGUGUAACACUCAGUGAAUGCUGGGAAUUGUAGUUCACACCCCUAAAACAGAUGUGGCACCCCAGGGGAUGCUGGGAAUUGGAGUCUCGACCACAAAAAACCAGGUGUGGCAGCCGGGGGAUGCCGGGAAUUGGAGUCCAGACUGCAAAACCAGGUGUGGCACCCCGAGGGAUGCUGGGAAUUGGAGUCUGAGCCCCAAACCAGGUGUGAUGCGCCAGGGGAUGCUGGGAAUUGGAGUCUCCACCCUAAAACAGGUGUGGCACCCGGGGGAUGCUGGGAAUUGGAGUCUGAAACCCCAAAACAGGUGUGGCACCCGGCGGAUGCUGGGAA
ensembl:lncRNA